UCUCUCUUAGCUCUGCUGGAUCACANUGGUUCAAGUGUAUGCUUGGUGUCUUUUUNAGAGAGAGAGAGAGGAAGGUACUCCCAAUGCAUGGCAGACUUGCCCCACAGUGGCCUUACUGAUCCUGGGUAUGCAACAGUU
rnacentral:snoRNA from 1 species